rnacentral:misc_RNA from 1 species
AAGUCGUAACAAGGUUUCCGUAGGUGAACCUGCGGAAGGAUCAUCAAUGAAAUUCUUCAUAUACAUUCACCAAGGGAAACUACUUUGGCUCAUUGAGUCUUUUUAGUUUCUCCCAGUCUUUAAUUGUUUUUUGGUAAGUGUGUGUUGUAUUUUGACCAAAAUCAUUUGUAUUUUGGAAGAAACCACACAUUUUAUACAAACAAAAAAAAGUUUUUAUUUUCUUCGAACUGUUUCAUAUGGUUAAAAGAAGGAAAUAUUGAUAAAAUUUACCUAAUUUUUUUUAGUCAACAAAAGAUACAAUCAAUACAACUUUUAGCAAUGGAUCUCUAGGCUCUC